AAUCAUACAGGAUAUUGAUACUUUUAUGAUGGUAGACAGUUUAUUACAGAUAGGAUGUGUUUUGAUAUAAGACACUUUUCAUGAGAAAUAAAUUUUGCGUAAUUAUCUGUAGUACUUAACUUUUUUUUCUUUUAAUAUAUAUGAAUUGGAAAAGCAAAAUAUAUGAAUUUACAAAAUAACGAUGAUCUUACGAUAAUAAAAUAAAAUCGUAUAAUCAAUUUUAUAAAUGUCUUUAUCGAAUGUUACAUUGCAUGAGAUAUUAGAAAUUUAUGAAUGAAAAGAGGAAUAGUUUUUUAAUAUUUUAGUUAUAAAGAAUAAGAAACAUUAUUAUAGAUAUACAAUAUUAUUUUAUGCAAUCUUUUUUAUUGGGAGCAUACAAUUGCAGAUACGAUUUUAAUUCUGUGUAAAAAAAUACAUUAAUGUGAAUGUUUUUUUUUAAAUACGUGCUAUGUGUUUACUAUAAUACAAUCAAGGACACUGAUAAAAGGAGAUACAGGUAUCUUUUUCAAGAGUAACGUUUUCAAACUAUUGCAUCAGAUGAGUAUUUUUAAUAUCGCUUCAUUCUGUUUCAUUAAGUUCUCCAUAAUUUAUUAGCCUCGAAAUAAUACUUCCAAAUCAUUGAAAUAUUCUGUUUACCUUUCUUUAAAAUUCUUUUAAAAUAUAUCCAUAUAACAAUAUUUCUUAAGAAAAUUGCAUAAGGAUUUUCAAAGAUCGCGGUAGCUUCCGAGUUGGCGCAAAUCGAUCGAUGACACCUUCGAUAUCUCUGUCGUUAUACAAUGUUUGAUAUAGAUCUGCGUUUAGUUCGCGAACGAAUCGCAUACUAUCAGCUGCAAUUUCACAGCUUCGUUUUUUUCGCAUAUUUUGUUUAUUCUCGAUCUGAAAUAGGGCACGAGCUUUAUAAAGAAGGAUACGACCACGCUGUAAGCGUAAUUCUUGCAAUGGUAUUUUAUCUUCCUCGAGUAUUUGAAGCGCUUGCGUAGCUAUAUCUAUAGCCUGAUUCGAAUGUCCCUUAUUUACCGCCAUUUCUGCUUUAUCGUUUAAAAUAUCGAUUAUUCGUUUUGUCAGAUCAAUCGUCUUUUGAGAUACCGGAUAUUCCAUCUCGCGUAUCUUUUCGCGGCAUUUUAAGUACGACUUCAGUGCCGUAUCGAUAUCCUUAUUUUUCAGAAAGUAAUCGCCUAAUAAUAUAUACGGCUCCGCAUAGUGCUUGGCUAGGUUACUUUUAUAUACAAUUCGUACUGCUGCGUCGAGUUUAUCGUCCAACAUGCAUUGCAUCGCCAUAUCGUAUCUAUAAAUGGAGUAUUCGAAAGUUUUUAACGUUGUUUUGAAACGGUUAGAUGUUCGAUAGACUAGCAAGUUUGAAUUCUACUUCCGAUUGAGAGAACGUUGUAUCGUUACGCACCGCGUGUUCUAAUUUUUAAAAGUGUAAAAUGUAAAUUUAAUGUGAAAUAUCUGUGAUGAUUUUUGGUAACAAGUCAUUUAGAUGGAUUUUUAAGGUUUGGAAGUGAACAGUACUGAUUUGAAGAUUUGGUUUCCAAAACAGAAAUUUGAGGAGAUUUAAGGCGCUGAAACGUCUUCUUUUGCAGUUACAGGUUAAUUUUUAUCGAUGUAGUAAUUACUAUCAAUAUAGUAAAAAAGAAAGAUAUUUCCACUUUAGUGUGACUUUAUACUGGUAAAAAGUGGCGGAUUCAGAGAUAUCGGUAGGGAUCGAUCCUCCCCCUCCCCCCCCCCCCCCAAGAGUAAUAAUAUAUACGAAUGUUAUAUUACAUUCUGAAAAACUUUUUGGAUAUACAGGUAUAAUUGAUGUGAAUUCAAUUAUUUAGGCUACAAUAUCAAAUAGAGAUAUUCAAAUAUAAAUUACAAGCAAAUUUUAAAUCUUGUAAAAGAAGGUUCAAAAAUGUACUUAUGUAGAAAAAUACAUUAUGUAAAAAUCCAAGAAAGGCUUCUGAAUCCGUCACUGUUAUGAUCUCACUAUUUUUAUAUUCUUGCCGUCAAGAAUAUGCAUAUAUUUUAUUAAUAUCGAUAUAUUCUAUCAUUAAUAUAUAUUAAUAUAUACUAUUAUCGUAUUUUAUUUUUACCGUAUUAAGUACCAUUGUUUGAUCAACUGAUUCCUCGCUUCGCUAAUAGAAACUUUUCCCAUGAGCGAUUUUUCUUUGUCUACUGUCGGUUCCAUUAAUUUGUAGAAAUUGUCGCUGAGACUUUGUAACCAAAAAUUUGCUUCUUCGAAACGACCAGAUAAUCGCAAGACUAUCGCUUUCAGUAAAUUGAAUCCUGGAUUGUAUGGAUUACAAUCUAGUGCUUUUUCGACUAUAAUCAAAGCUUUGUCAUAACAAUUGUACAUGCACCAUAGGACGGUAUAUGCUGAUAAUGUGUGACCAGUACUAAAUACCACCUGUGUAUGUACGUGAUACAAUAAAUAUAUAAAAUAUAUAAUAUAUAACUUAUAAAUCAAUUUAUAAGACUUACAACAAAGAGGAUAUAAGUAAUGGAAUGUUUUUUAGUAUAUUAGUUUUUAUAGUUUUCAAUUAUACUUUUUAAUUUGGAAUGAUGUACAACAUCAUUCUCAAAAUUUGAUCGAUGAUCAAUUAAAUAAAAUAAUAUUUUUACCCCUUUUUAAACGAUGGAAAGUUACAUUGAUUAUUACAAUUAACACUAAAUUAUUGUAAAUGAAGGAAGUUACAUAUUGUGUUGUGAGCAGGUAAGAUAUAAUAACAGAUACUUUACAGAAACAUUACUUACUACACAAACCAAAGACUUAAAAAGGAUUUGCAUGAUUCUAAAAAGAAGAAUAAAUUAUUAUAUUAUUAUAUCAUAAAUAUUAUGAUCUUUUUAAAUAUUAUAAACAUAUAUAUACAUAACAAACAUAACAGUUCUAUUACUUUUAUAUAUCGAAUGAAUCAGUUGGUGUAAAUUAUUGGAAACGAUUUCACCGGGAUCAUGGAGGAUCUAGCAGCCGGCUGUGCAGGUUGCGGUCAUGCGGCUGUGGUCGCGGAGGAAUUAGCGCGAUUUGCGGUCUCCGUUCACGCUGCUUAUUUUUCCGUGGAACCCGAAGGUGCGGUUAGACAUGAACUUUACCUCGGGUCUAAAUCUUCGGAUCAUCAGCAGUCGUGAAGUCACUUCCGUGCGACCAAGUCCUCCUACCCUCCUUUGUCAACCUCAUUUCUCAUCUCAAUUAAAGAAAUUAAGAAAAGAAGCAAGAACAGAAAGGAAGAAAAAGAA